rnacentral:rRNA from 1 species
AUGAAGGCAGCAUUAAAAACUAUCCUCCCACAUACUCUCCAUAAGUUGUGUCGGUGGCAUAUCAUGAAGAAGUACAAAGACCACCUCGCCUUACUAUAUAAGGCACAUGAGAAACUUAAGGAUGACCUCAAUGCGGUGCUGAACCACCCACUAAUGCCGUCAGAAUUUGAACGAGCAUGGAAGGACCUCAUUCAAAGAUACAACUUGCAAGAUGAUGAAGUGGACAAGUGCAUUCAGACCAGGAAGGCUGUCGAGCACGCAGAGACAGUAGCAAAUGAGUCAGAGGUAAAGACAUCAACCCAGUUUGGAUUCAAAGUUCAGUUAUCAAAAGUGUAUACAAGGGCAGUGUUUGCAGAUUUCAAAGAAACACUCUACCCUAGCACUGCAUUCAGAGCAGAACGGUGCCCUGAGAAUCCGACAAAGUAUCUCAUACACCACUACAACAGAUCGGAUGCAUUUGACUGGGCAAGGCAUAAUUUCCAAGUGGUCGCCGAUGAAGAGAAAGGUGUCUACAAAUGUGAAUGCAAACUCUAG